AACCCAUGGUGUGGGCAUUGGUUUGUGUAGCUCCUGAAUCUCUCAUAUGCUUCACACAAACUCUCAUUGCUGUGCUGAGUGAAGCUAAUGAUUUGGUUCCUCAGUUU
rnacentral:snoRNA from 1 species